CGUCCCUCUAGUUUUAACCCUGCAGCUGAAAACAUAGCAGUUUCAGAUUAACUGCUAUGUUUCACUGAGGGUUAAUCCAGCCUCUAGUGGCUGUCGCACUGACAGCCGCUAGAGGAGCACACUGAACGUUCAUAGGAAAGCAUUGAGUAAUGCUUUCCUAUGGGCGGUUUGAAUGCGUGCGCGGUCGCAUUCGGAGCUGAGAGGCUGAGGGAUCCUCAGCGCCAAGGGAGUCCGGCGCUGGAGAAAGGUAAGUGCUGAAGACACACACACACACUUACAGAUGCAUACACACUAGCUAUCAGACACACACAUUUACUGACAGAGACACAGUCAGCGACAGACAUACAUACACACUCACUUACAAAACAUACACUCACUAACAGACAUCAAACAGACUCACUAACACACACACACUCUCAGUAAGACACACACAGUAACACACUCACUAACACACACACACUCACACUCACACUCACUCUAACUAGCAGACACACACACUUACUCUAACACUCACACUCACACUAACUAGCAGACACACACACACACACUAACACUCACUCUAACACUCACACUCACUAGCAGACACACACACUAACACUCACACUAACACUCACUAGCAGACACACACACACUAACACUCACUCUAACACUCACACUAACACUCACUAGCAGACACACACACACACACACUAACACUCACUCACUAGCAGAUACACACACACUAACACUCACUAGCAGACACACAC